AGGGAAACUCAAAGGAAUUGACGGGGACCCGCACAAGUAGCGGAGCAUGUGGUUUAAUUCGAAGAAACGCGAAGAACCUUACCUAAGCUUGACAUCCCAAUGACAUCUCCUUAAUCGGAGAGUUCCCGUCGGGGACAUUGGUGACAGGUGGUGCAUGGUUGUCGUCAGCUCGUGUCGUGAGAUGUUGGGUUAAGUCCCGCAACGAGCGCAACCCUUGUCUUUAGUUGCCAUCAUUAAGUUGGGCACUCUAGGGAGACUGCCAGGGAUAACCUGGAGGAAGGUGGGGAUGACGUCAAAUCAUCAUGCCCCUUAUGCUUAGGGCUACACACGUGCUACAAUGGGUAGUACAGAGGGUUGCCAAGCCGUAAGG
rnacentral:rRNA from 1 species